CCUACGGGAGACAGCAGUGGGGAAUAUUGCACAAUGGGGGAAACCCUGAUGCAGCAACGCAGCGUGCGUGAUGAAGUCCUUCGGGAUGUAAAGCUCUAUUAGCAGGGAAGUAGCACGCCGUAACUUGAGUACUAUGCCCCGGCUAACUACGUGCCAGCAGCCGAGUUAAUACGGAGGGGGCACGCGUUAUCCGGAUUUCCGGGGUGUAAAGGGAGCGUAGGCGGCUGUGCAAGUCUGAAGUGAAAUCUCGGGGCUCAACCGGGGCACUGCUGUGUAAACUGGAGAGCUUGAGUACACGAGGGGCAGGCGGAAUUCCUAGUGUAGCGGUGAAAUGCUUAGAUAUUAGGAGGAACACCAGUGGCGAAGGCAGCUUGCUGCACCGGAACUGACGCUGAGGCUCGAAAGCGUGGGGAGCAAACAGGAUUAGAUACCCGAGUAGUC
rnacentral:rRNA from 1 species